rnacentral:rRNA from 1 species
GGACGGGUGAGUAAUGUCUGGGAAACUGCCUGAUGGAGGGGGAUAACUACUGGAAACGGUAGCUAAUACCGCAUAACGUCGCAAGACCAAAGAGGGGGACCUUCGGGCCUCUUGCCAUCGGAUGUGCCCAGAUGGGAUUAGCUAGUAGGUGAGGUAACGGCUCACCUAGGCGACGAUCCCUAGCUGGUCUGAGAGGAUGACCAGCCACACUGGAACUGAGACACGGUCCAGACUCCUACGGGAGGCAGCAUG